UACGUAGGGGGCGAGCGUUAUCCGGAUUCAUUGGGCGUAAAGCGCGCGUAGGCGGCCCGGCAGGCCGGGGGUCGAAGCGGGGGGCUCAACCCCCCGAAGCCCCCGGAACCUCCGCGGCUUGGGUCCGGUAGGGGAGGGUGGAACACCCGGUGUAGCGGUGGAAUGCGCAGAUAUCGGGUGGAACACCGGUGGCGAAGGCGGCCCUCUGGGCCGAGACCGACGCUGAGGCGCGAAAGCUGGGGGAG
rnacentral:rRNA from 1 species